UAUGUACAUUGAUUUGUUUCCUUGUACAUUGGUUGAAUGGUGUUUUUGUAAAUGUACACAUGGCUUCCAGGCGACAUCUCCUAAACUAUCGCGGAGAAGUUUACCUUCCCUCCGGUAGUUUGUCACAACAAGUCUGAUUAAAUAUAUGACUUUGGUCCAUUUACCUGUGGAUUUCAGCGCCACUGUGCUCCUGCUGCAGCAUUCAGACAAGAGGUGGUCCCAAAAACGUAACGCUAUUUUGAUCCGUUACACUGAGUAGAAUUUCAUGAAGAAGCACUUCCUUCUGCUGGGCGGAUGCCAGUGGAAUUUUGCAAGACAGCGCAUCACGAGGCACAGAGGAAGGCUGAAAUCAGAGGGGAGGAGGAGGACGAGGAGGAAGGAACGGCUGAUGGGACUUGAUUGGUGGUAACAGGGGGUGGUGCCGUGCUGGUUGCCCAUCAGCACAUCCUCGCUGACAGCCGGUGGCCUGUCCGUCAGCAGCCAAGCUGCACUCCCUCGCCAUCCGUUGCAUCCAAGUCCUGAGAGGGAAAUGAAAGCUGGUUGGGGAGAUGCAGUCAACAAGGUGGUAGGAAUUUUAAUGACCGGCUUUCUGCUGCCUUUCCCUCUCCCGUCGUUUUGGCACUCAAAUGAUCCGGCAGACUUUGCUGUUUGGCACCUUCUGGCUUGCCUUCCUGAAAAGAGUGGUGGACAGAAUAAAAGGCCAUGUCCACCACACAUCCCUGCCCACUUUCUGAUAAAAUUGUAUUUUAGUUAAAGCCAAGGCAAAACCGCUUGAACAAAUAGAUGGACCUUAUUUUCUGAAAGCUUUAUUCUUUUGACUUUUAUACUUUGGUA